UACGUAGGUGGCAAGCGUUGUCCGGAAUUACUGGGCGUAAAGAGCGCGUAGGCGGGAAUUUAAGUCAGGAGUGAAAACUGCCGGCUCAACCGGCAGCCUGCUCUUGAAACUGGAUUUCUUGAGGGUAUGAGAGGAAAGCGGAAUUCCCAGUGUAGCGGUGAAAUGCGUAGAUAUUGGGAGGAACACCAGUGGCGAAGGCGGCUUUCUGGCAUACAACUGACGCUGAGGCGCGAAAGCGUGGGGAGCAAACGGG
rnacentral:rRNA from 1 species